ACCACCUCUCUAUCUCUAGCCUCCAAACAUGAGUCUUUUCGGUAGAAAUCUCUUCAGGGUGAUGGCCAUUGCUGGCAUCUUGUUGCUUCUUGGCUACGAAGCCCCAGCGGAGGCCAGGCUCUUGGUUGAAGAAAGGAAGCUGGUAGAUGAUGUGCUCAUGAUCCAGUCCCUACCCAAAGGGUCUGGUGGUUCUUCGGCUUCGGGUUGCACCAGUGGGUCGGCCAACGAUGGCGGACAGUGCCCAAGUCCUUGACCUUGAGUACUGCAUCUUCGUUGAGAGUGUCUUCAUCUCCACAGUGUGUUCAUUUUCUUUGGUAAUUUUGGAUCAUUUUUCUUUUCUUUUCUUUCUUUCUUUCUUUCUUUUUUUUUUUUGGUUUCCUAUUCUUUGAAAUUAUUAGAUAUAUGUACUGAGAAGAUCCCACAGGCUGUCUCUGCGCUGCGCAGCCCUUUAGGAGGAUAGCUGUUGCACCGGAGAGUCUGAGGAUGAUUCAUUCAAUCUUGAAUUGAUUGCUUGUAAAUAUAUUUUUUGAGAGAAAAAAAGCAUUGUAUAUGACAUUAAUUAAUAUAUUGAUUUAUUAUUUAUAGCAUUUUAUCCG
rnacentral:lncRNA from 1 species